GCCAGUAGUCAUAUGCUUGUCUCAAAGAUUAAGCCAUGCAAGUCUGAGUAUAAUUGGUUUACGGUGAAACUGCGAAUGGCUCAUUAAAUCAGUUAUAGUUUAUUUGAUGCUAUAGGCCGCAAGGCCACUACAUGGAUAUCUGUAGUAACAUAGAGCUAAUACAUGCAAUAUAGUCUGACUUUUUGGAAGGACUAGCACUUAUUAGAUAUUAAACCAAUCCCAGCAAUGGGUUUUAUGGUGAUUCAUAGUAACUGAACAAAUCACAUGGUCUUGUGCCGGUGAUGUUUCAUUCAAAUUUCUGCCCUAUCAACUAGAUGGUAGUAUAUAGGACUACCAUGGUUGUAACGGGUAACGGAGGAUUAGGGUUUGAUUCCGGAGAAGGAGCAUGAGAAACGGCUACUAUUUCUAAGGAAAGCAGCAGGCG
rnacentral:rRNA from 1 species